CCUACGGGUGGCAGCAGUAGGGAAUUUUCGGCAAUGGGGGGAACCCUGACCGAGCAACGCCGCGUGAACGAAGAAGUUAUUCGUAAUGUAAAGUUCUUUUAACAGGGAAGAAAGAGAAAUUUGACGGUACCUGAAGAAUAAGCUCCGGCUAACUACGUGCCAGCAGCCGCGGUAAUACGUAGGGAGCGAGCGUUAUCCGGAAUUAUUGGGCGAAAAGGGUGCGUAGAUGGCAUAGUAAGUCUUUUGUAAAAAUGCUGGGCUCAACCCAGUAGGGCAAAAGAUACUGCAAAGCUAGAGUAUGACAGAGGCAAGUGGAACUACAGGUGUAGCGGUAAAAUGCGUAGAUAUAUGUAAGAACACCAGUGGCGAAGGCGGCUAGCUGGGUCGAUACUGACAUUGAGGCACGAAAGCGUGGGUAGCAAACAGGAUUAGAUACCCCUGUAGUC
rnacentral:rRNA from 1 species